CCUUCUUCUUAGUGAGGCUUCUACUUUGAUCUAGAUUGAGAACCCUAACUCGAUUUCUUAAUUUGAAAUCUGUGAGGAUUUUGGAAUAUGUGUUCUGGAGGUUUUGGAGGAAGGGAGGUCUGCAAAAUUGUAAGCCUUCGGAGAAGAGAAGUGCUGGGUCAGUUCCAUUUGUAUUGAGGAAAGGUGCCCAAAGCAAUUGUUGGAGCUGGAUUGCAGCAAUUGGAUUUAGCCCUCAGUUUGGAGAAGAAGAAAUGGACCCGAGCGUGUGCAUUUGGAAGUGGACAAAGUGUUGAAAGUCGAGAACGAACCCGAAUGUGGGCAAGCACUCCAAUUCCAGUGUGCAGGUUUCGAGCAUGUGGUCGGGAAGCGUACAGGGGAGGCACAUGGCACGGCUUGGCGCAUUUCUCUUUAGUUUUAUCAAAAGAAGGUUUUGGUCCUUAAUCGGAUUUUGUAGUAGCUAGUUUAUUUACUUUUUAUUUAUUUCCUACUCGUUUACAAAAAAAUUCCGGGAGACCCGUAACCCUGGGGCGCGUCUCCCAUACUUGUAGUUACUUAGUGAUCCGUUUUAUUUUCCAAAUUGGGCUCCGAUUGCAAGCCCAAAACUCUUAGCCCAUUUCGAAUUCCGCUUUUGACAAUGUGUUGUUAGGUUGCUAGAAUGAUUUGUCCAAGAAAGUGUUUUGUAAACCAACAACCUAAACUCAAAAGGCCUUGCGGUUUCGGGUUGAUGAGCUAUCGAGAUGCCAUUCGUGACAUGUCGAUUCCUCAUUGGCUCGGAGUCGCGGCGCUGUGGGACCCCCCUUUCGGGUCACCACAGUAAAGUGGUAUCAGAGCUCUAGG